rnacentral:rRNA from 1 species
CCUACGGGAGGCAGCAGUGGGGAAUAUUGGACAAUGGGGGGAACCCUGAUCCAGCCAUGCCGCGUGUGUGAAGAAGGCCCUCGGGUUGUAAAGCACUUUCAGUGAGGAAGAACGCCUGGUGGUUAAUACCCAUCAGGAAAGACAUCACUCACAGAAGAAGCACCGGCUAACUCCGUGCCAGCAGCCGCGGUAAUACGGAGGGUGCGAGCGUUAAUCGGAAUUACUGGGCGUAAAGCGCGCGUAGGUGGCUUGAUAAGCCGGUUGUGAAAGCCCCGGGCUCAACCUGGGAACAGCAUCCGGAACUGUCAAGCUAGAGUGCAGGAGAGGAAGGUAGAAUUCCCGGUGUAGCGGUGAAAUGCGGAGAGAUCGGGAGGAAUACCAGUGGCGAAGGCGGCCUUCUGGACUGACACUGACACUGAGGUGCGAAAGCGUGGGUAGCAAACAGGAUGAGAGACCCUUGUAGUC